rnacentral:rRNA from 1 species
UCAUUAAAGAGUUCUAUAACUCCCAAACCCAUGUGAACAUACCUAACGUUGCCUCGGCAGGUCGCACCUACCUUGUAGCACCCUACCCUGUAGGGCCUACCCGGGAGGUGCGGGUAAGCCUGCCGGCGGCCCACCAAACUCUGUUUGAUAUUGAAUUCUGAACCUAUAACUAAAUAAGUUAAAACUUUCAACAACGGAUCUCUUGGUUCUGGCAUCGAUGAAGAACGCAGCGAAAUGCGAUAAGUAAUGUGAAUUGCAGAAUUCAGUGAAUCAUCGAAUCUUUGAACGCAUAUUGCGCCCAUUAGUAUUCUAGUGGGCAGGACCGUUCGAGCGUCAUUUCAACCCUUAAGCCUUCGUUGCUUAGUGUUGGGAGCCUACGGCAACGUAGCUCCUCAAAGUUAGUGGCGGAGUUGGUUCACACUCUAGACGUAGUAAUUUUUUAUCUCGCCUAUUAGUUGGACUAAUCCCCUGCCGUAAAACCCCUAAUUUAUCAAGGUUGACCUCGAAUCGGUUCAGACAAACUCGCUAAAUUGAAGCAUCUUAGUCAGCGAAGGAAAAGAAACCAACAGGGAUUGCCCUAGUAACGGCGAGUGAAGCGGCAACAGCUCAAAUUUGAAAUCUGGCCCUCGGGUCCGAGUUGUAAUUUGUAGAGGAUGCUUUUGGCGCGGUGCCUUCCGAGUUCCCUGGAACGGGACGCCUUAGAGGGUGAGAGCCCCGUACGGUUGGACACCAAGCCUCUGUAAAGCUCCUUCGACGAGUCGAGUAGCUUGGGAAUGCUGCUCUAAAUGGGAGGUAAAUUUCUUCUAAAGCUAAAUAUUGGCCAGAGACCGAUAGCGCACAAGUAGAGUGAUCGAAAGAUGAAAAGCACUUUGAAAAGAGGGUUAAACAGCACGUGAAAUUGUUGAAAGGGAAGCGUUUGCGACCAGACCUUUUCCUAGCGGAUCAUCCGGUGUUCUCACCGGUGCACUUCGCUAGGUCUAGGCCAGCAUCGGUUUCUGUAGGGGGAUAAAAGCUCUGGGAACGUAGCUCCUCCGGGAGUGUUAUAGCCCUCUGCAUAAUACCCUUACGGGGACCGAGGACCGCGCUCGGCAA